GACGAACGCUGGCGGCGUGCUUACUCCAUGCAAGUCGACCGAAAAGCCCAGGUUUUUGCGGGUCCUCCGUUUGCGGAGGGGGGGUGAACAACUCGUGAACCUCCCCCUUACUUUGGGGUGACUUCAUGGAAAAGGGGGUAAUACCGGAGAAGAACUUCUUGUGCCGCGUGGGGGUUUGAAAAUUUCGGCGGUUGGGGAUGGACACGCGGCUUAUCAGCUUGUUGGUGGGGUAGGGGCUUACCAAGGCUUUGACGGGUAGCCGGCCGUAGACGGUGACCGGGCACAUUGGGACUGAGAUACGGCCCAGAAUCCUACGGGAGGCAGCAGUGGGGAAUAUUGCACAAUGGGCGGAAGCCUGAUGCAGAAACGUCGCGUGCGGGAUGACGGCCUUCGGGUUGUAAACAGAUUUCGACUGUGACGAAGCGUGAGUGACGGUAAUGGGUAAAGAAGCACCGGCUAACUACGUG
rnacentral:rRNA from 1 species